GCGCCUGUGGCUCAACGGAUUAGAGCACUCCGCUUCGGACGGAGGGGUUGGGGGUUCGAGUCCCUCCAGGCGCA
rnacentral:tRNA from 1 species